rnacentral:rRNA from 1 species
CGCAAAUUGCCCAAUCCCGACACGGGGAGCAGUGACAAGAAAUAACAACUCUUGGAUUUCUAAGAAGUGUAAUGAGGAUAAUUUACAACCCUUACCGAAAGCAAUUGGAGGGCAAGUCUGGUGCCAGCAGCCGCGGUAAUUCCAGCUCCAAUAGCGUAUAUUAAAGUUGUUGCAGUUAAAAAGCUCGUAGUUGAAGUUCUGAUUGUUCGGGCCUCGCGCUUUAUAGCCGAGGAACCGACAGUCAUCCGCUUGCAAAUAUAUGUUCGCCUUUAACCGGGUGGCUAUAUGAGUAAGCAAUUUACCUUGAGAAAAACAGAGUGUUCCAGGCAGGUUUGUCCGGAAUGCAUUAGCAUGGAAUAAUAGAAUAUGACUGAAGUCGAUUUAUUGGUUUAAGGCUUUAGUAAUGAUUAAUAGGAACAGUCGGGGGCAUUGGUACUUGACAGUCAGAGGUGAAAUUCUAGGAUUUGUCAAAGACUAACAAAUGCGAAAGCAUUUGCCAAGGAUGUUUUCAUUAAUCAAGAACGAAAGUUAGGG